GUGGCGAGUGCAGAUUAUCUUAUAAGUAUUGUUCGUUAUCGAGGACGACAAGGAGCGUCUUCCGUUUGAUCCAUUCGAAGUAAAGGAGGGAUCUCAUAACCGCUUCUUCCCCCAAUUUUCUCUCCGCUCUUCCUAAAUUUUCGAAGAAAGAGUGAUCGAAAGAAGGAAUCGCCAUGGCGGCCAUCGGGAAUACGCUUGUCUCCAUCCGAGAUUUCUGCCCCACGUCGCUCUUACUCUUCUCCCCAAAUCGCUUCCGAUGGAUCUCUAAUUAUGCUCAUUCCUGCGAUUUGGACGAAUUGGUGGUUGUUUGAGGUCAUCAGAGAAGUCUUUUUUUGGUUAUGGCCCUACGAACUGUUCAAGCAGCCUACAGAUCAGCAAAGUACUGGCUGGGGCUGAUAGAAAAGAUAUCAUCAGGAAGUUUCCAAAAUUCAUAUAUGACGAGGAAUAGGCUUUGGAGGAGGCCCAAAAGAUACUGGUGGAGAAGAUGGAGCAGUUGAACUCAGAUAUAGAUGAUGUUCCUUCUCAGCUCCGGCAACAUGAUGGUUCAAAUGGGGCGGCUGUGACAUCUGAUAAAGUUGAAGCUGCAAUUUAAAGUCAACCUGGUAACAUGUUAGUUUGCAUGCAGUAAGAUGUAUUUGUCGAUAUUGCGCAAUUUACUUUCAAUAUUUUGACUUAAUAAAACUUGGAUCCAUAGGACUUACCGUUC